CGUGACGCGUCGAUUCUUAGACGAAUCGCGAAUUGGCCAUACAUUUAGUGCAUGUUGAGCUAGCACGCGCGCCGUGGACUUGUGGGCAAUUGGGUGUUCUACAAGGUGCGUGUUCGGUGGUGAACAGAAAAAUCUAGCAGCAUGUCUCGUUCCUACUCGAGAGCGGAUCUGGCCUGCAAGGUCUACGUGGGUAAUCUGGGCGAGUCAGCCGGCCGACGGGAGCUGGAGAAUGCCUUCGUCAAAUUCGGGCCCCUCAAGAAUGUCUGGGUGGCCCGGAACCCGCCUGGCUUUGCUUUCGUUGAGUAUGAAGAUUCAAGAGAUGCUGAAGAUGCUGUGAAAGGCCUGGACGGCCACAUGCUCUGUGGACACCGUGCCGUCGUGGAGAUGUCGACCGGGGAAAAACGUACCAGCCGGCGCGGAGGCCGCAGCGGGCCGCGGUCGGCCAGCUACGACGACAAGUGUUACACCUGCGGGGAGCGGGGUCACUUUGCCCGGGAUUGCCGCAACAGCGGCCGCUACGGAGGUUAUGGUGGUGGACGGUACAGCAACUCGGACAGACGUCGGAGCAGAAGAUCCAGGAUGUCCCAUUCACCUUUAACAUGGCAUUUGAUCGACAUGUGAUGGCCACGUUGCGUCCCAUGUGAUCAGCAUGUGGUCCCUCAGUCAUGUGAUCUGCCUAAGCACCAGUCGGUCAGGUCCACAGUUGCCCGUCGGCCAAAAACCAGCUCAGCCGCAACCCCCCACACAAAAACGCCGCACCGGCGGGCAGGCGGGCGCGUCUCGGCUCCUUAGCAAAUUAGGCCGGCCCAAAGUUGUGCCACCCUGCCUUCGUCACAGCCCAAAAAAAUCCACCCCCCCAUCACGCCUGUUUGUCAGGAAAUGGGCGGUGUUCGUCAAGGUUUUACAUAGGAAGGGGGAAUUCGGCCGAGAGUCGUCUCGUUCAGGCCAGCACGCAUAAAACAGCUCACCAUGGCAACACCCCGGCAAUUUAAAACCAAAAAAUGAUCAUCGCAUUCGUCGAGGCUCAGUUGUCGGCAAUAGAUUCACAAACACCAAAUUGAGCACUCAUCUCUGCUCGUCUGUACGAGGUCCAGAUCCCGAGAUCGCAGCUACUCGCCGCGGAGGUAUUCGGACCACAGCCGCUCCCGGAGCCGCAGUCGCGGUCGAAGCCACAGU
rnacentral:misc_RNA from 1 species